GUCAGCACCCCGCUCUCUUUGUGACGGGGCUUCAUGCCUCCAACUUUAGAUAGCUGACCAGCCUCAGCCUAACGGCUACGUUUUCUGGAUCAUAAUACCCACGAAUGCGACGCUAGUUUGUGGCUNCAGAAAAUUCCGAUCCAGAUGAACAGAAUUAUUUGGCUCAACUGAAUAAACGUCCGCCCACAAUUGCCGCCACUCGUCAACAGGAUACCACCCUAUUUGAUCAAAU
rnacentral:sRNA from 1 species